CAUUCACGGAGAGUUUGAUCCUGGCUCAGGACGAACGCUGGCGGCGUGCUUAACACAUGCAAGUCGAGCGAGGCCCUUCCUUCGGGAAGG
rnacentral:rRNA from 1 species